GAUGGACGCCAUCACUCCCCUAUUUCCCUCUUCACCUCCACGGCCACGCCGCGUCGCCGCCCGAGCCCCGCUGCGGUUGCUAUGAUCCGCCGCGCCGCCCCGUAGCCCCACACCCGAAGCUGCAGCCGAGAUGCAUCUGAGCGAGAACCAGGGGAUCGAGGGCGUGCGGUUCGCGGUGACUGGCGGGCAGGGCUUCGUCGGCGCUGCGCUAUGCCUGGAGCUGAUCCGCCGCGGCGCCCUGGAGGUCUGCUCCCUCGACGGCUCGACCUGCGCAAUUCCUCCUCUUGGUCCCAGCAGCUCCUCGACGCCGGCGUCCGCUUCUUCCAAGGCAAUGAGGGAAGUAGAUGGGCAUGGCUGAUCUGUUCGUCAUGCAGUUAUGUGCUAUCUUAUUCCUUGAUACUGAGUGUGAGUCCAUGCAUGUGCAAGCUAUAUGUACUCUUAUUUCCUACUAUUCCUGUAUGGUACCACUUUUCCCCUAGCAAGGAUAUGUGAGCCUAUUAACCUUAUGUUGUCUGUCAAUGUCAGAUUUAGAACCCAGCAAAGAAAUAUGGCAGAAAUUUGCAUAUUAACCUUUCUUGUGCAGGUUAGAGAUAUAAAUGGCGUACAAAUGCUUCUGUGCCAUGAGUGUGUAAACUUGAUGAGGCAACAUGGUCUUCAAGCACAAGAAAUACCCAUGGACCUGAGUGCGGGUUGCCGCUCCGGUCUCCACUCCUCUGCUUGACCACCGCCGCCACCACGUUGAGGCCCUCGCCACCAAGCGGCAUGCUUUCCCGAGGAUCAGCAACUAAUGGCAAACAUGUCAGCGAGCUCCGAGUGAGGUGGCCCAUGCAACAUGAAGAAGACCAUCCGGACAAAGGGCAGGCACACAAUUAGCCAAUAACACAAGGAGACGUGCAGGUCUGCGUUUCUGAGUUAUAUCUCUUUUAGCACUAGCGAUUAAAUGGUCUGUAGCUGGUCAGGCAUGCUUGUCUAAAAUGUACUUUAGUAGUUGCUAGAUCCAUGCUAGCUUCUAUGUUGUUCUUGCAGCCUCAACUAGCUAAUUUUAUUUAAAGCAAAUGUUGUUCUUUCCUUCCAAUUACUGUUAUUCAGAUCUUCUUUUAUUUUUCUGUUGUCAUUCACAGUACAAAUGUUAUGAGAAUUUCAGGAAUUUUGUCAUAUCUUUCUCCCAGUUACCUUAAUUUUGUAAAUUGUGGUCUAAUUCAAUUUUGGGUUUGUUUUCAGAAAAGCCUACUUUAAAGCUGUGUAAAUCCAUUAUUUCCUUUGAGUUUUCCGUGGAGGUGAGUUGGGAACCUUUUUUAUACAUGGUGGAUGCACUGAUGUAGUGACGGAGACUUGCCUGAAUGUUGUUUUCCUCCGCGUGAAGUGCUUACAAUUCUCAAUGGCGUCAACAAGUCCCGGAGGAGAUUGACAAGUUGCUGGCAAGAUCUCAAGUUCAUUGCUGUCUUUUUUUGUCUGAACAUUUUCUUAUUUGGAGUUGCAGCCGAUUUAUGGUGUGUCAACCGACUUGGCUUAGGAUGUAUUGUAGUUGGUUUGGUUGCAUCAACCAACAAGUCUUAUUAUGUAUUGCAGUUGGUUUGGUACCAUCAGCCGAUUGUCCAGUUGGAAAACCAGCGGGGAAAACAUGUACUGUGAGCUCCCCUCGCAUUCAGAGUUUAGAGCUUGAUGAACAAUGUUACAUGAGCUUGUUGAUGAUCUGCUAUUUUUCACAAAA